rnacentral:lncRNA from 1 species
UAGAGAGACUUAUCGCUACCUAACAAGUCUAGGAGGAAAUGAAUGAGCUAAUUGACCCUCCCUCACUGCCAGAAGUUAAGCCACCCCUGCAACGAGAGGAUCUUGAGCCAUCCCAAUACGACCCUACUCCUCUACAGUACCAUCCAGCACCACCACAGUAUGGUCCGGUGCCCCAACCACAUCACCCGAUACAACCAUAGUAUAGUCUGAUGCACCAAUCAUAUUACUCGACACCACCACAGUACAAUUCGGUACCUCUACCAUAUCAUCUAAUACCACCACAGGACCAUCCGAUCCAUCUCUAGCACAAUCCAGUCCCUCUUCCACGGGACCUAGUUCAUCCCAUGAUGGAAGCAGGCUACAUUGAGAGCUAUAAAAGACUAUAAAAGACUAAACUCAUCUACUUUUAUAGGAGUAUCAUCUUUUGAAGAGGCCGAGUAUUGGUUAGUUGAAAUAGAGAAAGCCUUCAC